UGGGGAAUAUUGCACAAUGGGCGCAAGCCUGAUGCAGCAACGCCGCGUGAACGAUGAAGGUCUUCGGAUCGUAAAGUUCUUUUGCAGGGGAAGAUAAUGACGGUACCCUGUGAGGAAGCCCCGGCUAACUACGUGCCAGCAGCCGCGGUAAUACGCAGGGGGCUAGCGUUAUCCGGAUUUACUGGGCGUAAAGGGUCCGUAGGUGGUCUUUCAAGUCGGUGGUUAAAGGCUACGGCUCAACCGUAGUUAGCCUCCGAAACUGGAAGAAUUGAGUGCAGGAGAGGAAAGUGGAAUUCCCAGUGUAGCGGUGAAAUGCGUAGAUAUUGGGAGGAACACCAGUAGCGAAGGCGGCUUUCUGGACUGCAACUGACACUGAGGCACGAAAGCGUGGGUAGCAAACAGG
rnacentral:rRNA from 1 species